AUUGAACGCUGGCGGCAUGCCUAAUACAUGCAAGUCGAACGGAAGCAGCAAUGCUUUAGUGGCGAACGGGUGAGUAACACGUAGGGAACCUACCUAUACGACGAGGAUAACUACUGGAAACGGUAGCUAAAACUGGAUAGGAUCAAUUGAGGCAUCUUGAUUGAUUUAAAGAUCCUUCGGGAUUACGUAGAGAUGGCCCUGCGGCGCAUUAGCUAGUUGGUGAGGUAACGGCCCACCAAGGCGACGAUCCGUAGCUGGUCUGAGAGGAUGAUCAGCCACACUGGGACUGAGACACGGCCCAGACUCCUACGGGAGGCAGCAGUGGGGAAUUUUGGACAAUGGGGGCAACCCUGAUCCAGCCAUGCCGCGUGAGUGAAGAAGGCCUCGG
rnacentral:rRNA from 1 species